AUUGAACGCUGGCGGCAUUCUUUACACAUGCAAGUCGAACGGCAGCGCGGGCUUCGGCCUGGCGGCGAGUGGCGAACGGGUGAGUAAUACAUCGGAACGUGCCCAGUAGUGGGGGAUAGCUCGGCGAAAGCCGGAUUAAUACCGCAUACGACCUGAGGGUGAAAGCGGGGGAUCUUCGGACCUCGCGCUAUUGGAGCGGCCGAUGGCAGAUUAGCUAGUUGGUGGGGUAAAGGCCUACCAAGGCGACGAUCUGUAGCUGGUCUGAGAGGACGACCAGCCACACUGGGACUGAGACACGGCCCAGACUCCUACGGGAGGCAGCAGUGGGGAAUUUUGGACAAUGGGCGAAAGCCUGAUCCAGCAAUGCCGCGUGUGUGAUGAAGGCCUUCGGGUUGUAAAGCACUUUUGGCGGGAACGAAAAGGACUGUGCCAAUACCACGGUUCGAUGACGGUACCCGCAGAAUAAGCACCGGCUAACUACGUG
rnacentral:rRNA from 1 species